rnacentral:rRNA from 1 species
UACGUAGGGACCAAGCGUUGUUCGGAUUUACUGGGCGUAAAGGGCGCGUAGGCGGCAUAUUAAGUCAGCUGUGAAAUCUCCGAGCUUAACUCGGAACGGUCAGCUGAUACUGAUGUGCUAGAGUGCGGAAGGGGCAAUCGGAAUUCUUGGUGUAGCGGUGAAAUGCGUAGAUAUCAAGAGGAACACCUGAGGUGAAGACGGGUUGCUGGGCCGACACUGACGCUGAGGCGCGAAAGCCAGGGGAGCAAACGGG